GGACUGCCCGUGUUAAGCGGGAGGAAGGUGCGGAUGACGUCAAGUCAGUAUGGCCCUUACAUCCAGGGCUGCACACGUGCUACAAUGGGUGGUACAGUGGGACGCAAGACCGCGAGGUGGAGCUAAUCCCCAAAACCACCCCCAGUUCAGAUCGGAGUCUGCAACUCGACUCCGUGAAGCCGGAAUCGCUAGUAAAGGCGUAUCAGCUACGACGCCUUGAAUACGUUCCCGGGCCUU
rnacentral:rRNA from 1 species